rnacentral:ribozyme from 1 species
UAUUGCGAUAGUUCUGUAAAAGGGUUGGAUCCGACGCCUCUAGAAGGCUACUAUAGGCUCUCCUUCUCAACUCCUACUCAAUAUGUCCACGUCGUGCAGAACGGUAACUUGUCGCCUAGAUCCAAGCUUGCGUACACGAGGAAACCCAACCCCUUGGGCGGACGGGCGGCAAGGCUGAAUUGAGAGGU